CAUACAAAUACAGAAGAUUCGCCACUACCGACUCCACCAUCGCCACCGCGUAGUUCAGCCCCGGGCAUAUCCUCCUCCCGAAUCCAAACGGUACUUCAUCUCAAGGAUGUCUUCUUCCUCUACUCUCCCUUUGUCCCUUACGACCCUUCUGACUUCUUCUUUCGCUUUUCGAAGCACCCUCGGAUGCUUCAUGAGCUCUGCCAUCGCCCACUCCAUGUUCGAUGGAAGUGAGUCUGUCGACGCCGAGAACAUGCUCUGCAUUGUACAUGCAGAAUAUAACAGAAACCUAACCACUUUGAUUUGGUUGGAUGCUUGUAGACCAAGGAACACAGAGGCAAAACAUGUAAAAAAUUAACUGAUAAGGCUUACUUGUAAGAUUCC